CUCAAACACACUUUCAAACUUGGGAAAAUGUUUUCACUGUGAACCUGUACUAGAGCCUCUGCUCUGCCCUGUGCGUGGUUCUCAAAUUGAAGCAGGGACACAGCAUCUCCAUAAGGAAGGUGUUCACUUGUGGAGGGAGGGUAGAUCUGUUCUCAUGCACUUUUGCUAUCCUUUAAAGGACCCUCUGAGCACAUUGCAGUGUGGAGACAAACUGUACCAGGCAGUUAAAUUAAAAACAAAAGACUGAGUUUUAUUACCCUUCCCCAUGCUAAAAAGUGCCUCAUUCCUGAAGUAGUCCUGUUGAUGUCCAAGCCAAGCGAAGUCUCCAGAAAGAGAGAUGAACAUAACUGGCAACACGAUGCAAUUCUCAGGGCUGUGAUUUCUUUCUUUUUUUUUUUUUUUUUCUCUUUUUUCCUCGUGAAAUUAACUGGAGUUGGGAUCUUUGAUAUAAGUACAUACUAGUGUAAGAUUUGUUUUUUCCCUGGGCAUUAACUUCAUGAAAUAUUGAAAUUCGGUGUUAAUCAAGUGAAAAGAUUCAAACGUGUCUAGAAAGAAAAAAAAAUGUGGAAAAUUUAGGCUUAAUGUCAGCAUUUUCCUUCAUAGGAUCCAGAAACAAAUCUGCUCUUCCUGGAGUGAGCAGGCAUUUUGCUGGUAGCUUUGGCAGAUGCCAUCGGGCCCCUCUCGCCACCAAAUGCACUGUUUUCCUCUUAUCUAAGUGUGCAUUUGAGUUAAUGGCCAAACUAGCUGUGCACUUCCUCGCCCACUGGUGCUACUGCUGGGGCAGCUUCUGGCUUCCUGGCAACCUCUGGCCUUGACUUCCCACUCGUCAGUCUCAAAAAGUCUUGACUCUGCAAAGCCAUUACUCCCCUAUAUGUGCAGUAUUGAUUUGGCUCCUGUGCGUGUCUCUUUGGGAUGAGUUUGGUGGCUCGUUUUACAGAAUCACAGAAUCAGAGAGGUUGGAAGGGACCUCUGGAGACCACCGAGUCCAAUCCCUGCUAAAGCAGUCUCCCUACAGCAGGUCGCGCAGGCAGGUGUCCAGGCAGGUUUUGAAUAUCUCCAGAGAAGGCAACUCCACAACCCCUCUGGGUAGCCUGUUCCAGUGCUCUGCCACCCUCACAGUAAAGAAGUUUAUCCUCAUGUUCAAGUGGAACUUCCUAUGUUCCAGUUUGUGCUCAUUGCCCCUUGUUUUGUUACUGGGCACCACCAAAAAGAGCCUGGCCCCACCCACUU
rnacentral:lncRNA from 1 species